rnacentral:rRNA from 1 species
AUGCACGCUGGCGGCGUGCCUCAUACAUGCCAGUCGAGCGAACAGACGAGGGGCUUGCUCCUCUGACGUUAGCGGCGGACGGGUGAGUAACACGUGGAUAACCUACCUAUAAGACUGGGAUAACUUCGGGAAACCGGAGCUAAUACCGGAUAAUAUAUUGAACCGCAUGGUUCAAUAGUGAAAGACGGUUUUGCUGUCACUUAUAGAUGGAUCCGCGCCGCAUUAGCUAGUUGGUAAGGUAACGGCUUACCAAGGCGACGAUGCGUAGCCGACCUGAGAGGGUGAUCGGCCACACUGGAACUGAGACACGGUCCAGACUCCUACGGGAGGCAGCAGUAGGGAAUCUUCCGCAAAGGGCGAAAGCCUGACGGAGCAACGCCGCGUGAGUGAUGAAGGUCUUCGGAUCGUAAAACUCUGUUAUUAGGGAAGAACAAAUGUGUAAGUAACUAUGCACGUCUUGACGGUACCUAAUCAGAAAGCCACGGCUAACUACGUG